rnacentral:rRNA from 1 species
CAGUCGCCACGGUAAUACGAAGGGUGCAAGCGUUACUCGGAAUUACUGGGCGUAAAGCGUGCGUAGGUGGUGGUUUAAGUCCGUUGUGAAAGCCCUGGGCUUAACCUGGGAAUUGCAGUGGAUACUGGAUCACUAGAGUGUGGUAGAGGAUAGUGGAAUUCCCGGUGUAGCGGUGAAAUGCGUAGAGAUCGGGAGGAACAUCAGUGGCGAAGGCGGCCAUCUGGGACAACACUGACGCUGAGGCACGAAAGCGUGGGGAGCAAACAGGAUUAGAUACCCCCGUAGUCCCUGUCUCUUAUAA